GAUGAACGCUGGCGGCGUGCCUAAUACAUGCAAGUCGAGCGAACGGACGAGAAGCUUGCUUCUCUGAUGUUAGCGGCGGACGGGUGAGUAACACGUGGAUAACCUACCUAUAAGACUGGGAUAACUUCGGGAAACCGUAGCUAAUACCGGAUAAUAUUUUGAACCGCAUGGUUCAAAAGUGAAAGACGGUCUUGCUGUCACUACUAGAUGGAUCCGCGCUGCAUUAGCUAGUUGGUAAGGUAACGGCUUACCAAGGCAACGAUGCGUAGCCGACCUGAGAGGGUGAUCGGCCGCCCUGGAACUGAGACACGGUCCAGGCGCCUACGGGAGGGAGCAGUAGGGAAUCUUACGCAAUGGGCGAAAGCCUGACGGAGCAACGCCGCGUGAGUGAUGAAGGUCUUCGGAGCGUAAAACUCUGUUAUUAGGGAAGAACAGAUGUGUAAGUAACUGUGCACAUCUUGACGGUAACUAAUCAGAAAGCCACGGCUAACUACGUG
rnacentral:rRNA from 1 species